GAUGAAGAACGUAGCGAAAUGCGAUACUUGGUGUGAAUUGCAGAAUCCCGUGAACCAUCGAGUCUUUGAACGCAAGUUGCGCCCGAAGCCAUCAGGUUGAGGGCACGUCUGCCUGGGCGUCACAUAUCGUUGCUCGAUGCCUAUCGCAUUGCGAUAGGACUUAGGGCGAAUGAUGGCUUCCCGUGAGCGUUGUUGCCUCGCGGUUGGUUGAAAAUCGAGUCCUUGGUAGGGUGUGCCAUGAUAGAUGGUGGUCGAGUUAGCACGAGACCUAUCAUGUGCAUGCUCCCCAAAAUAUGGCCUCUGUGACCCACACGCGUCUUUUGACGCUCAUGACGAGACCUCAGGUCAGGCGGGGCUACCCGCUGAAUUUAAGCAUAUCAAUAAGCGGAGGA
rnacentral:misc_RNA from 1 species